rnacentral:rRNA from 1 species
AACGAACGCUGGCGGCGUGGAUAAGACAUGCAAGUCGAACGGGACAGACCGAGUAGCAAUAUUUGGAAUGUUCAGUGGCGAACGGGUGCGUAACACGUGGAUAACAUUCCGGAAAGCGGGGAAUAGCCCAGGGAAACUUGGAUUAAUACCGCAUGUGGCCGCAAGGCUAAAGACGGGGACCGCAAGGCCUGUCACUUUCCGAUUGGUCCGCGGCCUAUCAGCUAGUUGGCGGGGUAAUGGCCCACCAAGGCUGAGACGGGUAGCUGGUCUUAGAGGACGAGCAGCCACACUGGAGCUGAGACACGGUCCCGACACCUACGGGUGGCAGCAGUCGAGAAUCUUUCACAAUGGGGGCAACCCUGAUGGAGCGACGCCGCGUGGAGGAUAAGGUCUUCGGAUUGUAAACUCCUGUCAUGCGAGAACAAGGUACUCAGGCUAAUAACCUGAUUGUUUGAUGGUACCGCAAGAGGAAGAGACGGCUAACUCUGUGCCAGCCGCCGCCGUAAUAC